rnacentral:tRNA from 1 species
GCGGUCGUAGCUCAACUGGUUAGAGCACUCGCCUGUCACGCGAGAGGUUGAGGGUUCAAGUCCCUUCGAUCGCG